UCCUACGGGACGCAGCAGUGAGGAAUAUUGGUCAAUGGCCGAGAGGCUGAACCAGCCAAGUCGCGUGAGGGAUGACGGCCCUACGGGUUGUAAACCUCUUUUGUCAGGGAGCAACGCCGGCUACGUGUAGCCGGACUGAGAGUACCUGAAGAAAAAGCAUCGGCUAACUCCGUGCCAGCAGCCGCGGUAAUACGGAGGAUGCGAGCGUUAUCCGGAUUUAUUGGGUUUAAAGGGUGCGUAGGCGGAAUGCCAAGUCAGCGGUAAAAUCGCGGGGCUCAACCUCGCUCCGCCGUUGAAACUGGCGU
rnacentral:rRNA from 1 species